GGGCAGGUGGUGGAACUGGCAGACACAUACGUUUGAGGGGCGUAUGCCGAAAGGCGUGCGGGUUCGAGUCCCGCCCUGCCCA
rnacentral:tRNA from 1 species